UGCUACAAAAUUAUUACCAAUGAUUAAAUUAUAGUAUAUAUUAUAUAGAUUAUAGAUUAUUUAGUAUGGACUAUUUAGCUAAAUAGAGGACACAUAUUGGUACCAGUAGUUUGCUGAAAUGCUUAUCAUCUGUAAAGAUUUGAAAUACAAAUACAAAUUAAUACAUAACCCGUUGAAAUAUGGCUUCGAUUGUAAACAGUAAAUUAUGUUACGCGAUGCUUUAAAUCGCAAAAUCAGAAAAUAUU